rnacentral:rRNA from 1 species
AUGCUCAGUAACACGUUGUUAACAUACGCUUGGGUCAGGGAUAACCUCGGGAAACGGAGGCUAAUACCUGAUAGGGGAUAGAUACUGGGAUGUUCCUUCCCUGAAAUUCGUGCCCAAGGAUUGGACAGCGGCUGAUUAGCUUGUUGGUGAGGUAAUGGCUUACCAAGGCGACGAUCAGUACGGGCCCUGAGAGGGGUAGCCCGGAGAAGGGUACUGAGAUAAGGACCCUAGCCCUACGGGGUGCAGCAGGCGGGAAACCUUUACGAUGCACGCAAGUGCGAUAAGGGAAUCCAGAGUGCUCACACUUCGGUGUGAGCUUUUGCCAAGAGUAAACUCCUUGGCGAAUAAGGGAUGGGAAAGACUGGUGCCAGCCGCCGCGGUAACACCAGCGUCCCGAGUGGGAGCCAUUUUUAUUGGGUCUAAAGCGUCCGUAGCCGGUCAUGUCAGUUCUUUGUGAAAUCGUGUUGCUCAACUUCACGGCGUGCAAGGAAUACUGCAUAGACUAGGGACUGGGAGAGGUAAGAGGUAUUCCAGGGCUAGCGGUAAAAUGUUAUCAUCCUUGGAGGACCACCAAUGGCGAAGGCAUCUUACUAGAACAGGUCCGACGGUGAGGGGCGAAAGCUAGGGGAUCAAAACGGAUUAGAUACCCGAGUAGUCCUAGCUGUAAACGCUGUGUACUAGGCGUUGCAUAUUCUAUAUGGAUGUGCAGUGUCGGAGCGAAGGCGUUAAGUACACCACCUGGGAAGUACGGCCGCAAGACUGAAACUUAAAGGAAUUGGCGGGGAAGCGCCACAAGGAGUGCUACGUGCGGUUUAAUUUGAUUAUACACGGGGAAUCUUACUAGGACCGACAGCAGGAUGAAGGUCAUUCUGAAUGGAUCACCUGACGCGCUGAAAGGUGCUGCAUGGCCGACGUCAGCUAGUGCUGUGAGGUGUCCUCUUAAGUGAGGUAACUAGCGAGACCUGUAUCCACUAUUGCAAACAAUGUCUCCGGACAGAUUGUGCACUUUGUGGGGACUGCCUUGGAAACGAGGAGGAAGGUGCAGGCAACGUUAGGUCAGUAUAGCUCUCACGUCCUAGGCUACACGCGCGUUGCAAUGGUAGAGACAAUGGGAUACAACUUCGAAAGAAGGAGUUAAGCCUCGAAACUCUACCCCAGUACAGAUUGAGGUUUGUAACUCAGCCUCAUGACGCCGGAAUUCCUAGUAAUCGGACAUUAGCAGUGUCCGGUGAAUAUGUCAACGCUUCUUGCACACACUGCCCGUCAAGCCACUCGAGCAGGGGUUUGAUGAGGCCAUACCUUUUAGUAUGGUCGAAUCUGGUCUCAGCAAGAUGGGC